rnacentral:rRNA from 1 species
UGGGGAAUAUUGGACAAUGGGCGAAAGCCUGAUCCAGCCAUGCCGCGUGAGUGACGAAGGCCUUAGGGUUGUAAAGCUCUUUUGGCGGGGAAGAUAAUGACGGUACCCGCAGAAUAAGCCCCGGCAAACUUCGUGCCAGCAGCCGCGGUAAUACGAAGGGGGCUAGCGUUGUUCGGAAUUACCGGGCGUAAAGCGCACGUAGGCGGAUUGUUAAGUCAGAGGUGAAAUCCCGGAGCUCAACUUCGGAACUGCCUUUGAUACUGGCAAUCUAGAGUCCGGAAGAGGUUAGUGGAAUUCCCAGUGUAGAGGUGAAAUUCGUAGAUAUUGGGAAGAACACCAGUGGCGAAGGCGGCUAACUGGUCCGGUACUGACGCUGAGGUGCGAAAGCGUGGGGAGCAAACAGGAUUAGAUACCCUCGUAGUCCCUGAGCGGGCUGGCAAGGCGCAU